CCUACGGGAGACUGCAGUGAGGAAUAUUGGUCAAUGGACGAGAGUCUGAACCAGCCAAGUAGCGUGAAGGAUGACUGCCCUACGGGUUGUAAACUUCUUUUAUAUAGGAAUAAAAUGUUCCACGUGUGCGUUUUUGUAUGUACCUUAUGAAUAAGGAUCGGCUAACUCCGUGCCAGUAGCCGCGGUAAUACGGAGGAUCCGAGCGUUAUCCGGAUUUAUUGGGUUUAAAGGGAGCGUAGAUGGGUUGUUAAGUCAGUUGUGAAAGUUUGCGGCUCAACCGUAAAAUUGCAGUUGAUACUGGCAGUCUUGAGUACAGUAGAGGUAGGCGGAAUUCGUGGUGUAGCGGUGAAAUGCUUAGAUAUCACGAAGAACUCCGAUUGCGAAGGCAGCUCACUGGACUGCAACUGACACUGAGGCUCGAAAGUGUGGGUAUCAAACAGGAUUAGAUACCCCGGUAGUC
rnacentral:rRNA from 1 species